rnacentral:rRNA from 1 species
UACGGAGGAUCCGAGCGUUAUCCGGAUUUACUGGGUUUAAAGGGUGCGUAGGCGGGCGCCUAAGUCGGCGGUGAAAUGCAGCGGCUCAACCGUUGAGCUGCCGUUGAUACUGGGCGCCUUGAAUUCGGUCGAGGCCGGCGGAAUGCGCGGUGUAGCGGUGAAAUGCUUAGAUAUCGCGCGGAACGCCGAUUGCGAAGGCAGCUGGCCGGGCCGAGAUUGACGCUGAUGCACGAAAGCGUGGGGAUCGAACAGGAUUAGAAACCCUAGUAGUCC